UUGGCUGGAGGAGAGGAAUGCUGCAGCAGUGUCAAGGAUCCUCUGCCAGCAGUCCGUAUCAGUGCCCUUAGUUGCCUUGUCCCAAGCAGCAAUGAAUUCCAGCUGCUUGGUAGGAGCUUCCUCAGCCUGCGAAUUGCAGUGAAGCCAUGCAUAGAUGUGUUACCCAUCUCCCGUCCCUAUCCGCAUGCAUUACGAACAGCAGAUCGGUGUCACAAAGUGCAGGAUUGCAGGUAUUAUACUUAUGGUGCAACAUCUUAAAUCUAUAGCCAUCAGUAUGCAGAAGGCGUACCAGAAACUCAUAGGCUUCGAGCAAGGAGGAGGUUGCAUUCCAUUUAGCUUUUAAAGACACCUCUACGCCCUUCGAUCUGGCUUUGGCUGUAGAUGCUGGCACCCCGAUGAGAAUGCCAGUGAUCAAGCACAGCGGCAAUACUGCCGAACGGAAACUGAAUUCUUUCAUUGCUGUUGUGUGUGCCGAACACUAUGCUACAUACUGAACUGUAGUUCUGCUGUGAUUGCACUACUCAAUAGAGGACCUCUCUAGCUCUGAUGUGCCCAUCGAUCGACUUGAUCAAAAGUCUCAAGCUAAGUUGAUCUGCGUUGCAUUCUCCGUUAGCACCUCGCACAAUUUCAUUCAGAGCCCAAUCUCUCUUGUAAAGGUGCUUGUAGAAG
rnacentral:lncRNA from 1 species